AGCAUGCGGAUUAAUUCGAUGCAACGCGAAGAACCUUACCAAGGCUUGACAUAUACGAGAACNGGCCAGAAAUGGUCAACUCUUUGGACACUCGUAAACAGGUGGUGCAUGGUUGUCGUCAGCUCGUGUCGUGAGAUGUUGGGUUAAGUCCCGCAACGAGCGCAACCCUCGUUCUAUGUUGCCAGCACGUAAUGGUGGGAACUCAUGGGAUACUGCCGGGGUCAACUCGGAGGAAGGUGGGGAUGACGUCAAAUCAUCAUGCCCCUUAUGUCUUGGGCUUCACGCAUGCUACAAUGGCCGGUCGGUACAAAGGGCUGCAAUACCGCGAGGUGGAGCGAAUCCCAAAAAGCCGGUCCCAGUUCGGAUUGAGGUCUGCAACUCGACCUCAUGAAGUCGGAGUCGCUAGUAAUCGCAGAUCAGCAACGCUGCGGUGAAUACGUUCCCGGGUCUUGUACACACCGCCCGUCAAGUCAUGAAAGUCGGUAACACCUG
rnacentral:rRNA from 1 species